rnacentral:rRNA from 1 species
UACAGAGGGGGCAAGCGUUGUUCGGAAUUACUGGGCGUAAAGGGCGCGUAGGCGGCCUUCUAAGUCGAACGUGAAAUCCCCGGGCUCAACCCGGGAACUGCGUCCGAGACUGAAAGGCUCGAAUCCGGGAGAGGGAUGUGGAAUUCCAGGUGUAGCGGUGAAAUGCGUAGAUAUCUGGAGGAACAUCGGUGGCGAAAGCGACUUCCUGGACCAAUACUGACGCUCAUGUGCGAAAGCGUGGGGAGCAAACAGG